rnacentral:rRNA from 1 species
UACGAAGGGAGCUGGCGUUGUUCGGAAUCACUGGGCGUAAAGCGCACGUAGGCGGAUGUGUCAGUCAGGGGUGAAAUCCCGGAGCUCAACUUCGGAACUGCCUUUGAUACAGCACGUCUUGAGUCCGAUAGAGGUGGGUGGAAUUCCUAGUGUAGAGGUGAAAUUCGUAGAUAUUAGGAAGAACACCGGUGGCGAAGGCGGCCCACUGGAUCGGUACUGACGCUGAGGUGCGAAAGCGUGGGGAGCAAACAGG